CCUACGGGUGGCAGCAGUGAGGAAUAUUGGUCAAUGGACGAGAGUCUGAACCAGCCACGUAGCGUGAGGGAUGACUGCCCUAUGGUUUGUAAACUUCUUUUAUAUGGGAAUAAAAUGUUCCACGUGUGGGAUUUUGUAUGUAACAUAUGCAUAAGGAUAGGCUAACUCCGUGCCAGCAGCCGCGGUAAUACGGAGGAUCCGAGCGUUAUCCGGAUUUAUUGGGGUUGAAGGGAGCGUAGGUGGAUUAGUAAGUCAGUUGUGAAAGUUUGCGGCUUAACCGUAAGAUUGCAGUGGAAUCUGGCAGUCUUGAGUACAGUAGAGGUGGGCGGAAUUCGAGGUGUAGCGGUGAAAUGCUUAGAUAUCACGAAGAACUCCGAUGGCGAAGGCAGUUCACUGGACUGCAACUGACACUGAGGCUCGAAAGUGUGGGUAUCAAACAGGAUUAGAUACCCGUGUAGUC
rnacentral:rRNA from 1 species